rnacentral:tRNA from 8 species
CGGGGUGUAGCGCAGGUGGUAGCGCACCAGACUGGGGGUCUGGGGGUCGCAAGUUCAAGUCUUGUCACUCCGACCA